UAAGUGACUUCUGGGAAGAAAUCCAAAAAGCACAUUUAAUAAAAGGGCUAUUUUCUCAAAUCAUAACCUUGGAUACUCCAGAAAAGGAAAAUUAAUCAAAGAUACAUUCCUUUAAAAAUACUUUAAAGAUUUGAGCUGCACAAAUGUGGGUAAGGUGGAAGGUUUUCCUCAUUGAAUGGUGGGUGAACGUUCAAUGUAGCAGAGUCAUUCUGGGGGAAAUCAAUUCAACGUUAAUAACAAAACGAUGGAAUUCUUCAACACAUUAUUGACUAUCGGCACAUGCAGGUGAGCUCUCACUGGGCUAGGACACUGUAUCAAAGUUUUAGUCCUAAUUAUGCUACAGAUACAGAGUAAGCUGCUGGGGAAACAAAACUUUUGAACGAAUUUUACCUAAAAAAGAUCGAUUUUGAGCUUCCUUGAAAAUGUAGUAGAUACUGACCCUGCAUUCCCACAUGGCAGUAACAGGCUGGAACCCAAUAGUAGCUGUCCCUUAUUGACAAGGUACUUGGUCUCCAGGUUACCAGUGACCCACCUCUCUUGUUUCACUGACUGAAGCUACUUUACUCAUUUCUUUACCUGCCUGGCCAUCAGCCAAAUUUCCCUGGGGGAAAGGGAUGCGUCAGUGCCCGCAAGGGGCUGACACGCUUUGAGCAGAGGCUAAGCAUGGAAAUGGCAGCAGGUGGCACAGGAACUCCAGAGACUCUCUUUUUCUACCCUCCCCAUCUCAACAGUCACCAA
rnacentral:lncRNA from 1 species